UAUUAAGGGUGCUGGAACACCUACGCCCACGUACGCCCACACACACGUUGCUAGGGAAAGCUAACUAUGAAACUACCUGCAGGGGAGACAUGGAUCCUUCACAGGAUUAUGAAGCAACACUCUACUAGUGUGCAUUCCAAAAAUGGAGAGGAAAGGAUGAUGACAACAGAUUUUACACUUGAUUUUCAUCAUAUAGCUAAAAGAAGUUCCGCUUAGGAAACCAGUAGAGCUAUGGACUUGAUUGUUUGUUUGCAGGUGCACUACACACAGCUCUUCAACAUUACGAAGAGCUUUUGUUGUAAAAUCCCUUUGUUAUCUAUUUAUGAGAAUUUUUUGUCAUGACACACCCUCUAGAGAAAAAUCUAGACCGUAUAUGGACAAAGUCAGCCCGUAACUUUGUUCACCUUACCUAAUUAUAGCAGCAUGCUAAAUAUAGACCAAGUCCUGUACGUAGAUAGUCAGAUCGAACACUUUUUAUAUCUGGCUCUAGCGUACGCGUACGCUAGAGUAUAAAUUAAGACGUAAGCCUGUAGACCACGCCCCAAUUGCGUACGUAGAGUGCAGAAUUAGCGUUGAAGAUCAAGAGCCAUUUGUUAGUAGCCUGAAGAGAAGAGAUAGGCAACGCUGGGGCUACAGACAGCGCUGACAAUUGGCUGGCUCAUAGACUUCUGCCAGGGUUGGCUGCUGUUUUGAUGGACUUUGAAGAGCUUCCAUGAAAGCCUGUGUGUAAUACCACUCUUGGACCUCAGUGUCACCAGAGUGCUGUGCUCCAGGCCAAGUUGGACCAGUCUCUUUGUCUGGGCUGCAGUAAUGCUUGGCUUCCCCGGGCAUCAGAUUGGUGGAACCUCCGCUUUUGUGAGGUCCACACAGCUCCAUCUGCUUAUUAGCAGACCGAAUAGGGAGGUUGGGGAGGCAGCUGAUCAGUGAAUGGUGUGUCGUAACUGCCUCCAUCGCCAGGACAUCUGGAAAUGAGCUUCUGACCAUUCUGCUAACUUGGUGGCAAGGAUCUCCAGCUUCUGAAGGAUGCGAUGCCAUUGUGUGCUGGAACAUGGUGGAAGACCCAACCAGCCACUCAACCGGACGUAUCAACAUGCAGGUGGCCAUUGAGGAGAAAGGACAACACUGGAUAGUGCCAUGAACAGCUCGAAUCGUGGAUAGUACACGUCUAAAGCACUGAAGAGAAACGUCUCCACUCGACACAAAUGAAGACAGUGUGUAUUAACAUUAAAAGACAAUCCAACCUGCUGUGUGACUAAUGCUAGUUGAGGAACUCGGACACUCGUGCUGAUUGUACUGAGACUGGGGUCUAUUGGCACACUUACGUUUCUCCCAUCUACUACUGAAGGCACUCCUUUGCUACAAAUCUGGCUCUGUAUUUAUUGGAUUGUGUUAUUUUGUUAUUGAUUUAUUAGUUUGUGUAGCUACCUGAUUUUCUUUUGCAGCUUGUAGUUAAUUUAAUUGAAGACAUUCUCACAAAACCAC